rnacentral:sRNA from 1 species
UGACCCUUUUAAGCCGAGGGUCACCUAGCCAACUGACGUUGUUAGUGAACCUAUUUGUUCAUAUUAAUAGCCAAUCACAAGUUUUGUGAUUGGUUUUUUUUUG